rfam:Capsicum annuum cultivar Zunla-1 unplaced genomic scaffold scaffold2697, whole genome shotgun sequence
AACUCUCGGCAACAGAUAUCUCAACUCUCGCAUCGAUGAAGAACAUAGGAAAAUACGAUACUUAGUAUGAAUUGUAGAAUCCCAUGAACCGUAGAGUAUUUGAACACAAGUUGUGCCCGAAGAUAUUAGGCCGAGGGCACGUCUGCCUGGGCAUCA